AUGAAGGUUCUGAGUUGGAAUUGCAAUGGUCUCGGGAAUGAACCGGCAAUCCGUGCUUUGCUCGAUGUCCAACGAAAGUCAAAUCCCGAUGUGAUGUUUUUGUCGGAGACUCACCUAGAAAGCUAUCCGGCUGAAUGUUUACGUCGCCGCCUUAAGAUGGAUCAAAAAUUUGUGUGCCAUGGCGAUGGGAGGAAGGGAGGUCUUAUUCUAUUUUGGAAAAAAGAAUUUAAGGUUCAGAGGUUGGAUCUUGACCCUAUGUUUAUAGAUGUGAUGAUCACGGAUACAAGUGAUAACACAUGGAGACUUACUGGUAUGUACGGAGAGUUUAGAUGGGAGAAUAAGCAUAAAACAUGGGACCGUAUGCGGGCAUUGCAUCAAUCACAGUGUCAGCCAUGGUUGUUAGUUGGUGAUCUGAACGAAAUACAGUUUUUACAGGAAAAAGAAGGAGGUAAUCCUCGCCCCCAGCAAUAUAUGACAGCAUUUCAGAAUGCUAUCGAUGAUUGCAAUCUCAAGGAUAUGGGAUUUGUCGGGGAUAUGUUCACCUGGAGGAGAGAAAGAAUACGGGAGAGAUUGGACAGGGGUCUAAUAAACGACGAGUGGUCGAUUCUAUACCCACAUGCUGCGCUUGAAAAUCUGGAGUUCAAUCAUUCAGACCACAGACCUAUUCUUGUGAACACUGAAUAUUACAUUCAGGAACAUGUGGAUCCUAACCAAAGACCAAGGAGGUUUGAGGCGUACUGA
rnacentral:rRNA from 1 species